rnacentral:rRNA from 1 species
UACGUAGGUGGCAAGCGUUGUCCGGAAUUAUUGGGCGUAAAGCGCGCGCAGGCGGUCCUUUAAGUCUGAUGUGAAAGCCCCCGGCUCAACUGGGGAGGGUCAUUCGAUACUGUUCGACUCGAAGGCAGGAGAGGGAAGUGGAAUUCCCGGUGUAGUGGUGAAAUGCGUAGAUAUCGGGAGGAACACCAUUGGCGAAGGCGACUUCCUGGCCUGUUCUUGACGCUGAGGCGCGAAAGCUAGGGGAGCAAACGGG